rnacentral:lncRNA from 1 species
CGCCGCACGUCUUAAGUUUCGAGCGAUUUGGGGGAAGGCGAGGGGACCGAGGAGAACAGGAAGGGGCGGGGGCGGGGGUGGGAGUCGGGGGAGAAGAAGAAGGGGGAAAAAAAAGAAAAAAAAAAAGCCGGGAGAGGGAGAAGAAAGAAAUCUUCCUUUUGCCGAAAGAGGCAUAGCGUGGCUUAGAGGUUGCCAAAGCAAGAGGUUUUGCUUUAUUUCACUUGUUUUUGCAACCGAGGCGUUCGGGGUGGGGCUGGCGCGAGGGAGGAGCGGAUGGGGAGAAGGUGACGGUCUCAGCGGCCGGCGAGAUUUAUUUAUUCCUUUGGAUCUUCGCGGGGAUGACUUUGAUGCUGGACUCCUAAAAAUACCUUGGAAUGACCCCCUCCCCGCCCCGCUGUCUCCCCCCCCCCCCCCGCCCCUCGCCGCCCCUGCUUUCCUCCUCGGAACCCUUGGAGGCUGCGCUAGGAGCCGUCAGAUUUUUCCAGAACAGCACCCCCCAACCCUCCGCCCCGGGGUCCGCGGCUCCGAGCCGCGCGCGCCGGCAGACCCGCGUCUGCGCCCUCAUUACCACUACAAAGCGGGGCCGACUGAGCCUCUUUCCAAAGCUGCGUUCUCAACCGGGAGCAUCUAGAGGCCAGAAACUUCCAAGCCAGCCCGCGGACGCAGACGCCUGCUCGGUCCCGGCUUUAUCUCUAGGGAAAGUUCCAUUUUAAGAGCCAGAUGCCAACAUUCCGGGACAGUUUACGGCAUCCGGAUCCCUCAAGGGGGCUCAUCUGCAGUUCAGUGUUCUGCUUCCGACACCCCACCCCGCAGGUCCAUUUACAGACCUCCUCCUUUUUGGUUGGACUGACCUCCAGCAAAGGGUUUGCAAGCCCCCCAACACUGCCACUGGCUGCGGGGAGGCCACAGGACUUAGGGCUACGUCCUCUGGGAGGUGAGUGCUGGGGACCAGAGGGCGGGCGGGGACCUGCAGACUCCGGAGGAGCAACCCCUGGGCCCUCCUCAUCAGCUCUUGGGGGUCCACCCAUCUUCCCAGCACCGCUGACCCAGGCGCCAGGGGCCUCAGCCGUUUCAGGGCUGGAGUUGGCCGUUCUCCGGACCCUGGAAGGAGGGUGA